CUUGUGGGUGUACUUAUGUGUACAAUGGCCCAUUGUGCUAAUCCAGUGGUCAGAAUAAGAAUUAACAUUCUUGAAAACCACUUCAGCUGGUCAAUUUUGAUUUCAGCUAGCAAUCAAGUCAAUUUGAACAUCUAAAAGAACUAGAUAUAGUUAUUUUCUUUAUAUUCAUGGGGGAAGGAGGGGAUCUAGAAGUGAAUUAAGCUUCUUUGAGGAAUUAGGGUCAGGAAAAAACAGGUAAGAGAUGAGAAGAAGAUAAGAAUGACCCUAAAACUUAAAGUAUAAUUAAAAAAAAAAAAAAAGAAUGACUUGGGAAGAGAGAUUGGGAGAUAAAUGGUGAAUGGGGGUAAAGAUGGAACUUAAUCUUCACUUCAUUGUCAUGUCACAGACCAGACAUUAGUACCCACUGAGUACUCCCUUAUUCUUCUCUCUGGGGGAAUAUUUAGCCCAGAAUGUCGUGAGUACCCCAGGCAGAUGUUCAUUAUCUAAUUGGUGCUUGAAUAACUGAAUUUGACUUUUUGUGUGUGUUGCCCUAACCUGAAUCCCUUAGACACUGAUAGUAGAACUGUGGAGAAGUAUCCCUGGAGAUGACCCACAAUCUCAAGAAGGCUGAAGAGGAGAGGAAGAGAAUGGAUAAAUCGAAACAAGUGUUUAGAUGAUCAAGGCCUUAUAAGCCAUACUACCCAUCAAAUAAGAGAACCCAUUGCAGAACCAGAAGGGACAUCAUCCAAGCUGUCUGAAAUCCCGGUUGGUACUCCAGGCUUCAACAACUGCAGCACAAUGAGAGACAGCAAAGAACAUCCUGGCCUUUGACAACCCCCUGUCUUCUAACAUACUGAGGUUAAUCAGACCGAGGACAAUUUGGAAGGGGCUCUCUGCCACAACUUGGGGAGUGGAGACAGGACGGGGGAGGAGCCAAGAUGACCGAAUAGGAACAGCUUCGGUCCACAGCUCCCAGCGUGAGCGAUGCAGAAGACGGGUGAUUUCUGCAUUUCCAACUGAGGGACAUGGAUGAAACUGGAAACCAUCAUUCUCAGCAAACUAUUGCAAGGACAGAAAACCGAACACCCCAUGUUCUCACUCAUAGGUGGGAAUUGAACAAUGAGAACACAUGGACACAGGAAGGGGAACAUCACACACCGGGGACUGUUGUGGGGUGUGGGGAGGGGGGAGGGAUAGCAUUAGGAUAUAUACCUAAUGCUAAGUGACGAGUUAAUGGGUACAGCACACCAACAUGGCACAUGUGUAUAUAUGUAACAAACCUGCAUGUUGUGCACAUGUACCCUAAAACUUAAAGUAUAAUAAUUAAAAAAAAAAAAAGACAGGACGAUAAUACACAUUUGGUGAUACAAUUAAGAAACAUGAUAUUGGAAAGUUGCUGACCAAGUGCCACCUAGCAUUCCUUCUCUUGUACUAGCCACAUGCCCACUCCUCAUGGCUACUGCUAGCCUCAUCUAAGAACUGGGGACCCAGCCUGGCAGGAUAAGUGUGGCUCCAUGCUUUAAGCCAGAGAAUUUAGGAGACUAUGAUCUGUUGCUGUGUCAAUCUGAAAGCUGAGGGAUCUGAAGGGUACGUGGUACCCAUUCUCUGACUCUCACUCCCAAAAGUCCUUUUCUCCCUGGGUCAACAUACGGUUGGUGCCCAAGGCCCUUCCUAGGAAUUGGAAGCCAACAGUGACACAAAGCACUUAGGAGGCACACAACCACAAAUGUGUGAGGUUUGCCUUCCCAUAUUUUCUGGACCCAUGUUCAAGCCUGGAACUCUCUAGUUCAUAAAGGGUUUUACUCUUGCAGGAGUCAGCAAACUAUGGCCUGUGGGUGGAGGGCCAGAUGGGGCCAUGCUCAUUCAUUUACAUACUGUCUAAUGGUUGCUCAAAAAUCACAGAGUUGAGUAACUAAGACAGACUGGAAGGCCCACACAGGCAAAAAAUGUACUAUCCGGACAUCCACAUAAACAGUUUGCAGGCCACUGAUUUAGAGUAAGACCAGUUCUCCUGGGGGCAAUGGAUUGUCUUUCUUUGCUUUCAGCCUGACCAAUGCCCGUGGGUAGGGAUGGAGAGGGAGCCCAUCUCUCUAGUUGAUUCUGAUGAGAAGAACCAGGGUGACCCACCUGGAAUGUGAGCCUCUGAUCUUCCAGGCAUCUGGCAUGCCCAUUUCUUCCACAGAGCAGGAUAGAAGCUCCUCCCAGCAGGGGGUCUUGACUAUUUGAGACCACUGUAAAAGAAAAGUAAGAACAAGUGAUUCACGUUUGUGUUUCCUGUAAAAAGAACAUGGUUGUCAGUGCUAUUAACCUGGUUACCACUGACUUUGACGCAGAUACAGCCGGUUCAUGUUUCAGAACUUCAUGAAACAGGCCUGUGCCUUCAAUCAGAGGCAGCCCAAAAGACAAAAUUGCCAACACUUUCUAUUUGCAGUGGCCCAGGAAUUAUCAAAUAACCUUAGUUCCUAUUAAACUCCUGCCUAUUUACCAUUGCCUAAACCUGGAGGCAAAAUCUAAAUCCAAACCAUCACAGGUAAUCUCCAAUCUCACAUACUUUUCCAAAAGAUUCAUGUGUUAGGAAAGGAUGAUUGAUGGCUCAAAAGUCACCAG
rnacentral:lncRNA from 10 species